CCCCUCCCCAGCUCCCCCCACACAGUAAGAAGCUCCCAAGUGAGCGGCUCCGGUGCCGGGCGGGACGUGGGAGGGAGGCUGUGUCCCCGCGGGGAGGCAGGGCGACGGCGUCCAGGAGAGAGGCGAGCGGGGCGGCGUCCCAGGCACCCUGCGCCUCUCCCGCCCGCAAUGUGCGGGUUCCCGGAGCCCAGGCCCGCACCCCGGGUACUUGAAGGCCGCCGGGCUCCGCCUUCACCACGUGGGCCCUGAGUUCCUCCGCGGCGCCUUCGUGGGCGACACGCGAUUCCUGAGCUUCCACAGCCGCGGCGAGAAUCAGAGCGUGAAGCGCGGGUGGAGAAGAUGGCACAGGGCUGUGGGCGCCCUGAGGAAAGUUCUCGAAGACCGCAGGGAAUGUGUUACUGAGGGGCCUGAGGUUCCUGGGCCCGCACCACCACCAGGGUCAGCCGGUGAGUGACCUCAGACUCCGGGCACAGGUGUGCCCCGCCCCGACCCCAGAGUGACCAGCCCGGUUCUCCCAGGGAUGGGGGGGCGGGGCCUCAGCUGAUCCCUCUCAGGUGGGGAAGCGCUGGGGCCAUUUUGCUCCAGGUUUCUCCUUCAAUCUGGAUCAUGACUGACUUGUUCUGUGACCAAUGACAGAGGGAGGAAGGAGCUGGGGUGGGCGGGGCGACCUCCCUCCCCUCCCUGGCCCCGCCUCCGGCUCACCCUGGGGCAGGUCCAGGGCACCGCACCUGCAGAUGCUGCUGUCUGGCUGGGUGGUGGCUCCGGACAGGAGCUUCCUCGAAGGACACUUUAAGUCCGCCUACGACAAGGAGAUUUCAUGUCCCUGAACGAGGACCUGCAGACCUGGACAGCGGCUCAAAGAGCGGCUUGGAGGAUCCAUCACACCUGGGAGAGGUUCUGGACCGCGGAGGCCACAAGGGAAGCCCCGAUGGGUCACUGCACUAGGUGGCUGCUCAGACACCUGGAGCAUGGCAAGGAGAUGAUGCUGCCGGCAGGUACUGGGGUCCUCCAGGCCCCACGUCAGGACCUCUUGGAGCUGGAAUUAUGUUCCUUGGAGGCAUCCAUAUUUGAGGAAAGAGGAGACCGAACAGUCUCCGUCUCCUCCUCCUCCUCCUUCUCCUCCUCCGUCGCCGCCUCCUCCUCCUCCUCCCUACUGCGGGGUUGGGGAUUCUGGCCCAGGCUCCUGAGGCUCUCCCAUGGGUGGGUGGGGAGGGAGGACAGAGAAGAAGGAGUGCAGGGAGGUAAAUAGGAAAGGACAGUAGUUACCCUUGUCAACAGUGAGGUACUUGGGUCUAGCUUCACCGGGAAUCUUUUUCUUUCCUGGCCCUCUGUGCCCAACAAUUACAUAUAAUCUUUAACCCAACCAGAAGAUAAAACACCAGGAAACGGAAUCGGCAGAGACACAGUAGAUGAAAGUACCACGAAGGACUGCUAGGUUCUAAUAGAAAGUAGCAGAUAGCCCCGUGGAGAUUCCUGCUGUGCAGCAAAGCCUGGGAGGGGCCCUUGGCUGUGGAAGGCAGGCUGAGACGUCAUAGGAACUUCCUUCUCUGGGAUCCCAAACUCCUAGACCAGCUGAGUACGUUGAGGGGAUGGGAAGCACCAACACCCCACGCGGGUUACCGGAAGUGCUGCCCAAGCAGCUUCCUAGCCCAGUAGUCCUGGAUCUGCCACUUGCUAACUAGAAGGUGUCAUCUGCAGAAGGUAAGUAAGGCAUUUAUCUCCAUUCACUUUAUAUUUAGUUAUCAAAUCUCCAUGUAGCUCAGGUAGAUCGAGCUGAAAACAUUCUUGUGUUUAGUAAUAUAGCCAUUGAGCACACCAUCAUUGCUCUUUUCAUACCUUAGUCCUACUCAAAGAUUAAAGUGACAGCUUCCCAGUUAUGAUAAAAAAGUAUAAAACAUUCUGAGGGACCUGUAAACUAUAAAGCUAAAAUAUCAGCUUCUGCAUGCAACAUAUAUGUCAAAUUCUAUGUCCAAUACUCUUCUCGUUUUUAGAAUUAAUUCUGCAAACUUGAAGAUUGAGCUUUUUAUGAACUGAUUGGCAUCUGCUAUGCUCACCAGAUUAUUCCCACUUGACUGAGAGGAUGGUGGUAGCAAGAGCUCCUUCCUUUCAGAGGCUUUUAAAAAUACUUAUUGGGAAGAAUGUACCACAUAAGGCAUUUAACUAAUGAAACCACAGAUAUAACCACUGGCAAAAAAAUCAAACAAACAUUUCUUUAACUGCCCUGUACUUGGUACAUUCUCUUCCUCCUGCUAAGGAAGUAUCUCCUCUCCCUUCACUUCACAGACUGGAAUUUUCCAAAUUCCUAGUCUCAACAAGACAAACUGUAUUUUGAAAUCACUGUUUUCCCAGAAUACCCGGAGUGUUACCAUGACUCCAGAAGAUGCCUUCAACCAAGACUCAUAAUCUGACUGUAAGAAACCUUCAGAUAAGGUAUUGGGAACUUCUGUAAAAUUGUAGCUGGGCUGUGAUUAGAGAAUUUUCACAAUAUCAACGAAUCUUACAAAAGAGCUGCUGAUCCAACAGGUCCUCAGAGAUCCUGUGUGGGAACCAGAAGGUAUUCUGUGAAAAACGACAAUAAGAAUAACCAUAAUAACAAUAAUGGCUGCAUUUAAAAGGCUCUUGCUAUAUUUCAGGCACUGGUUUUUGUACCUACAUGGAUUAUUUUGUUCAAUAUUUAUCACAACCAUAUGAGAAGGAUGUUAUUAUCCACAAUAAAUAAAUGAAAUCUGUAAACUGUAACUUGUUCAAGAAAAUUAGGUACAGAGAUGUUAAGUUACUUGCCCAAAGUUCCAUAAUUUUGAAGAUAUGAGGCUAGAAUUCAGUUCCAGGCCAUUUUACACUAGAUCUACUAAUUUAGCCACUGUAUGAUUGUACCAAGACUGACCUAAAGCUACCUCCCCUUCCCCAACAGGUUCUUUUAUGACAGUGAGUAUAAAAUACAGGGCUAAUGACGUAUUGGGUGCAGAGAGGGGUUGGAAAGAAUGUGGUAUUUCAGACUAUGCUUACUAUGCUUAAAAAUCACAAUUCCGUGGUGACUAGAGUUUAUCUUAAACUUUCCUCCCUGGCAUUCCAUUGCAUCCAGUUGAGAGAGCACUCUAGCUCCCUACAUCCCAGAACAUGUAGAUCUGUCCGUGGUUCUGAAAGAUACACUGGCAGGUCCCGCCAACUACAUGAAUGGCAUUCAUAUUGUGGAAAACUGCCCACUAGUAAAAAUGUACAGUUGAACUUGUACAUUCAUUACUUACAAGGUUGGAGAACGUGAAGUACUGGACAAUCCAACAAUAGCUUGGAAAGAUACCAUAAAAAGACCCGCAGAAUAUUCUUUUAUAUGCAUUAUACUGAAAUGUACAAAACAAAACCAGAAUGGGACACAUUAUGAGUGAGAAGUUUAUCUUGAAAUUUUAAUCAGAAUAUGAAGAAAAGAAAUCCAACAUUAGACCUGGAAAAAGAUAAAAUAAUUUGUAUUUCAUUUAACAAUAUUUAUAGAUUCUCAAUAUAUACACUAUCCUUUUAAACCUCAAUUUAUAUUUAACCAUCCAUUUACCUUUAUUUUUUGUUUGUUUUUUUCUUUCACCUCAUACUUUCUACCUGGGAUAUCUUUUUGUGACUAAAGUACAUUCUUUAGAACUUCUUGUACUUUACUAGGUGUGUUUGUGUUAAAUUGUUUGUCUUCAAAAUUCAUUGAGAUUUAAAUUUUAUUAUUAUAUUUUCAUGCUUAAGUGUUAUGUGUUUGUCUCUUCAAAUUUUUCUGAAGAUUAUUUAUAGUUUUAUAGUCACUAAAUGUAUUUAACAAUCUGUUCUUUAAUCAUAGCCCAUUUAGCAAUUUUAUAUCCUAUACAAUUAUUCUGAUUUCUCAGUUAUAUGAUUGUAUGAUUCUGCUGUCUGUUGUAUUUUCUUGUUCUUUCACGGUGCUUUGUCUCUUAUGAACAUUGUUCUCUGUUGUUGUUCUUAACUGUUAAGUGCUCCUUUUGCUGGUGUAAUGAUUUUUUGGAAUUUUCAGAGUGCCAAUGACAGUAGAAAUUUUUCAGAGAAGUUUUGCUUGAUUUUCCAAGGUUCCUUGGAGUCUGCACUACUUUAAAAUAAAUUCAUGCCUUGAUGAUUUUUAGACCACCCAGGGAGUGUGAACUCGGGCUGCAAAUCCACUUCUCUUUAAUCUCAGGAGAAGGUUUUGCCCCUCUCCACUCAGCACCAAGGUGACUUUCUGGGGAGACCUUCAAGCAAGGAUGUUUUCCUUAUACUGAGGAGCUGGCUUUGGGAUCCUGGUGAAAUGAGGAGAACACUCUAUUAAAUUUCCCACUCUGAGUGCUACCUGAACUCUGUCUUCUAUUCCAAAUGCCUUAGGAGGCCAUGAAAACUAAACCUUAAUUAUCCUACAUUAAGUAAAUAAGCUCAGCAAAAAAAGUAAAUGCACAAUUCCGUGAUUUAGGAUUUGACAAUUUUUAUUAAAGUUUAAG